rnacentral:rRNA from 1 species
AGCAGCCGCGGUAAUUCCAGCUCCAAUAGCGUAUAUUAAAGUUGCUGCAGUUAAAAAGCUCGUAGUUGAAUUUCGGGACUAAUAUGUCGGUCGUGCCUCGGUACGUACUGGUUUAUUGGUUUCUCCUUUCUGAAGAACCAUGAUGUCAUUUAUUUGGUGUCGUGGGGAAUCAGGACUGUUACUUUGAAAAAUUAGAGUGUUUAAAGCAGGCUCACGCUUGAAUACAUUAGCAUGGAAUAAUGAAAUAGGACGUUUGAUUCUAUUUUGUUGGUUUCUAGGAUCGACGUAAUGAUUAAUAGGGAUAGUUGGGGGCAUUAGUAUUCAAUUGUCAGAGGUGAAAUUCUUGGAUUUAUUGAAGACUAACUACUGCGAAAGCAUUUGCCAAGGAUGUUUUCAUUAAUCAAGAACGAAAGUUAGGGGAUCGAAGACGAUCAGAUACCGUCGUAGUCUUAACCAUAAACUAU